UACGGAGGAGGCAAGCGUUAUCCGGAAUUAUUGGGCGUAAAGAGCUCGUAGGCGGCUUGUCACGUCUGCUGUGAAAACUCGGGGCUCAACCCCGAGCCUGCAGUGGAUACGGGCUAGCUAGAGUGCGGUAGGGGAGACUGGAAUUCCUGGUGUAGCGGUGAAAUGCGCAGAUAUCAGGAGGAACACCGGUGGCGAAGGCGGGCCUCUGGGCAACAACUGACGCUGAGGAGCGAAAGCGUGGGGAGCGAACAGG
rnacentral:rRNA from 1 species